rnacentral:rRNA from 1 species
GGCCUACACAUGCAAGUCGAGCGGUAACAGGAGAAAGCUUGCUUUCUUGCUGACGAGCGGCGGACGGGUGAGUAAUGUAUGGGGAUCUGCCCGAUAGAGGGGGAUAACUACUGGAAACGGUGGCUAAUACCGCAUAAUGUCUACGGACCAAAGCAGGGGCUCUUCGGACCUUGCACUAGCGGAUGAACCCAUAUGGGAUUAGCUAGUAGGUGGGGUAAAGGCUCACCUAGGCGACGAUCUCUAGCUGGUCUGAGAAGAUGAUCAGCCACACUGGGACUGAGACUCGGCCCAGACUCCUACGGGAGGCAGCGUGGGGAAUAUUGCUCAAUGGGCGCUAGCCUGAUG